rnacentral:rRNA from 1 species
GUGGCAGCAGCCGCGGUAAAACCAGCACCUCAAGUGGUCAGGAUGAUUAUUGGGCCUAAAGCAUCCGUAGCCGGCUCUGUAAGUUUUCGGUUAAAUCUGUACGCUCAACGUACAGGCUGCCGGGAAUACUGCAGAGCUAGGGAGUGGGAGAGGUAGACGGUACUCGGGAGGAAGUGGUAAAAUGCUUUGAUCUCUCGAUGACCACCUGUGGCGAAGGCGGUCUACCAGAACACGUCCGACGGUGAGGGAUGAAAGCUGGGGGAGCAAACCGGAUUAGAUACCCGGGUAGUCCCAGCUGUAAACUAUGCAAACUCAGUGAUGCAUUGGCUUGUGGCCAAUGCAGUGUUGCAGGGAAGCCGUUAAGUUUGCCGCCUGGGAAGUACGUACGCAAGUAUGAAACUUAAAGGAAUUGGCGGGGGAGCACCACAAGGGGUGAAGCCUGCGGUUCAAUUGGAGUCAACGCCAGAAAUCUUACCCGGAGAGACAGCAGAAUGAAGGUCAAGCUGAAGACUUUACCAGACAAGCUGAGAGGUGGUGCAUGGCCGUCGCCAGCUCGUGCCGUGAGAUGUCCUGUUAAGUCAGGUAACGAGCGAGAUCCCUGCCUCUAGUUGCCACCAUUACUCUCAGGAGUAGUGGGGCGAAUUAGCGGGACCGCCGCAGUUAAUGCGGAGGAAGGAAGGGGCCACGGCAGGUCAGUAUGCCCCGAAACUCUGGGGCCACACGCGGGCUGCAAUGGUAAUGACAAUAGGUUCCAAUUCCGAAAGGAGGAGGUAAUCCCUAAACAUUACCACAGUUAUGACUGAGGGCUGCAACUCGCCCUCACGAAUAUGGAAUCCCUAGUAACUGCGUGUCAUUAUCGCGCGGUGAAUACGUCCCUGCUCCUUGCACACACCGCCCGUC